rnacentral:rRNA from 1 species
CCCGCCCGGGUACUACGAGCAAAGCUUAAAACCCAAAGGACUUGGCGGUGCCCUAUUCCACCUAGAGGAGCCUGUUCUUUAAUCGAUAAUCCACGAUUCACCUCACCAUUUCUUGCCUAAACCGCCUAUAUACCGCCGUCGUCAAUUUUCCCUUUGAAGGAAUCAUAGAAAGUGAGAAGGUAUCCACCAAAACGUCAGGUCAAGGUGUAGCGAAUGAAAUGGGAAGAAACGGGCUACAUUUUCUAUUAUAGAACAAACGGAUUAUCAAUAUGAAAUCUGAAUAUGAAGGAGGAUUUAGUAGUAAAAAGAAAUCAGCAAAUUCUUUUUAAAAUGGCCCUGGGACGCGUACACACCGCCCGUCACCCUCUUCGACUCAAACAACCUUUAUUUUAUGACUACAUUUUUUGACCAAGAAGAGGUAAGUCGUAACAUGGUAAGUAUACCGGAAGGUGUACUUGGA